AAAAGACUACCUGAAUGACCAGAAUGUGAAGGAAGGGGAAGCAGCAUUUUGAGUGUAUGGUCAACUAAACAAUCCAAAAACCAUGUAGCUCCACAAUAAUCAGAAAUUCUGGAUCCAGUAAAACAAGUCUCCUUUAAGACAUGGCUGAAUGCUGGAAGAAAGUAAAGAAAGUUCCUGGAGUCAAAGAUGAAGUGAGAAGGAAAAAUCAGAGCAGUGAAUGCAGUCUCACCCUGUUGCCCAGGCUGGAAUGCAGUGG
rnacentral:lncRNA from 1 species